GACGAACGCUGGCGGCGUGCUUAACACAUGCAAGUCGAACGGAAAGGCCCCUUUGGGGGUACUCGAGUGGCGAACGGGUGAGUAACACGUGAGUAACCUGCCCUUGACUUCGGGAUAACUUCAGGAAACUGGGGCUAAUACCGGAUAGGAAUCCUUGCUGCAUGGUGGGGGUUGGAAAGCUUCGGCGGUUUUGGAUGGACUCGCGGCCUAUCAGCUUGUUGGUGGGGUAGUGGCUUACCAAGGCUUUGACGGGUAGCCGGCCUGGGAGGGCGACCGGCCAAAGGGGGACGGGGUGAAGGACCGGACGGGGCCGUGAGGAGAAGGGGGGGGGGGUGGAAGGAGGGGAGGAGGGAUGAUGUAGCAAAGCGGAGUGGGGGAUGGUGGGAUGGGGGUAGGAAGAGGAGGAGGGCUGUGAAGGGGCGUGAGGGACGGUAAUGGGAAAAGAAGCGCGGGCUAACUACGUG
rnacentral:rRNA from 1 species